rnacentral:rRNA from 1 species
ACUCCUACGGGAGGCAGCAGUGGGGAAUAUUGCACAAUGGGCGCAAGCCUGAUGCAGCAACGCCGUGUGAGUGAAGAAGGUUUUCGGAUCGUAAAACUCUGUCCUAAGGGAAGAAACAAAUGACGGUACCUUAGGAGGAAGCCCCGGCUAACUACGUGCCAGCAGCCGCGGUAAUACGUAGGGGGCAAGCGUUAUCCGGAAUCACUGGGCGUAAAGGGUGCGUAGGCGGCUUAGCAAGCCAGGGGUGAAAGGCAUUGGCUCAACCAAUGUAAGCCUUUGGAACUGUUAAGCUUGAGUGCAGGAGAGGUAAGUGGAAUUCCUAGUGUAGAGGUGAAAUUCGUAGAUAUUAGGAGGAACACCAGUGGCGAAGGCGACUUACUGGACUGUAACUGACGCUGAUGCACGAAAGCUGGGUAGCGAACAGGAUUAGAUACCCUGGUAGCACAGAG